GCAUAACGCGAAGAACCUUACCAGGGCUUGACAUCCCUCUGACCCCUCUAGAGAUAGAGGUUCUCUUCGGAGCAGAGGUGACAGGUGGUGCAUGGUUGUCGUCAGCUCGUGUCGUGAGAUGUUGGGUUAAGUCCCGCAACGAGCGCAACCCUUGUCCUUAGUUGCCAGCAUUUAGUUGGGCACUCUAAGGAGACUGCCGUCGACAAGACGGAGGAAGGUGGGGAUGACGUCAAAUCAUCAUGCCCCUUAUGUCCUGGGCUACACACGUGCUACAAUGGAUGGUACAACGGGCUGCGAACUCGCGAGAGCAAGCCAAUCCCAAAAAACCAUUCUCAGUUCGGAUUGUAGGCUGCAACUCGCCUACAUGAAGUCGGAAUCGCUAGUAAUCGCGGAUCAGCAUGCCGCGGUGAAUACGUUCCCGGGUCUUGUACACACCG
rnacentral:rRNA from 1 species